GACGAACGCUGGCGGCGUGCCUAAUACAUGCAAGUAGGACGCAGUUGCGAACGGGUGAGUACCGCGUAGGUAACUACCUAUUAGAGGGGGAUAACUAUUGGAAACGAUAGCGACUACCGCAUACUAGUAGAUGGACCUGCGUUGUAUUAGCUUGUAGGUCGGGGAAUGGCCUACCUAGGCAACGAUACAUCACCGAGCUGGGGGGGUGGUCGGGCCAACUGGGACUGGGAAAAGGCCCAGACGCCGACGGGAGGCAGCAGGAGGGAAUCAUCGGAAAAGGGGGGAACCCUGACCGAGCAACGGCGCGUGAUGGAAGAAGGUUUUCGGGACGGAAAGCUCUGUUGUUAAGGAAGCGGUACGUAACCAGAAAGGGACGGCUAACUACGUGCCAGCCGCCGCGGUAAUUC
rnacentral:rRNA from 1 species